rnacentral:lncRNA from 1 species
GGGUUCCGCUGAUCAGAAGCGGACAAGCAAACAGCGGAUGUGCAGUUCCUCUCUUCGCCGAACCCGGUUUUCCCUUUCGGAGCAGCGCGACCGAUUUCCGGUUUCCCCGCCGCAACCACCGUUACCCCCCCCCCGCCCCAAUCCCCGGCGACUCCAGCGACGUCACCGGUUCAGCUCCUGACCUUUCGGCGAACCGCAGAACCACAGGCGACCCGUUCGACGUCAUCACUCCCCGCCCAGAUGUCGCUGUGACAUCACCCCGCACGUGCCUGCGCUGGCACCGCGUCGUCCUGGCGAGCGCCUCCUCGCGGCGGAAGGAGAUCCUGGGGUUCGCUGUGCGAGACAUGUCGGCGGGGUUUCACGUGAGUGACACUUGGUCCCCACGGGAUUGACAGCGACUAGCGGAGUGGCAUGUGGACGUAGCUUCAGGCCUUGGAGGGGCUGAUCCUGGAGAAGUCAAAGGACCAGGAGGACGCCAUGGGGGGUGCUGUACAGGCUGAGCAGGAAGCAGAGCAGCACAGCGUCAUCAUGAGGGUAGCCAUCUUCACCUGGGGCAUCCACGGAGGAGGAGCUGAUCCACGACUACUUGGACAACAGCACACCAGCGAAGGAUGGGACAAGGCCUGGGGCCUCCGCCAUCCAUGCGUGGGGAGUGAUGCUGGUAGAGGGCAAAUUGGUGACGUCAUCAAUGCAGCGGGCUUCCCACUCAACCACUUUAGCCGCAAGCUUGCAAGGGCAGCUGCCAGAGACAGGAAGUGACAUCGCUGUGGAGAGGGCAGCAGGAAGUGAGGUGGAAGAAAAGUGUUUUGAAACUGACCCUACAGAUAAAAGAGUUCAUCAUGAAUGCGUGAGUUUUCUAUUUUUCUAGUAACAAAGAGUGGGUUUUAUAGUGUUCACGUGUAUUUAUUUAUUAGACAUAUUAGAGUACGUUAUAAUUGUAUUUUUAUGAUGAAAACAACACAGUUUUACUCAAUAGAUGUGAGUUUCUAAAUGUGAUAAGAAAGAUCGUACUCGAACAUUAUUUUCAUUCCUGGGCUAUACUGUAUGCCAUUACUUUGACGUAUUUUCAUAUGUACAUUUUAAAUAAUACUGUCCAAUGUGUUAAGAAAGAAAAAUGUUUUAACACAGAUGCUACAGAAAAGAGUGUUAAUCCUGAAUGCCUGUGUGUUCUACUCUAUGCUAGUAACAACAAGAGUGUUUUUUUUGAGAGUUCACCUGCGUUUAUUUAUUAGACAUAUUAGACUAUAUUAUAGCUAUCUUUGAAAGAAGAAAACCAGACAGUUUUGGCAAUAGAUGUCAAUUUCUAAAUGCAAUGAGAAAGAUUUUAUUGAAUGUUAUUUCCUUUAGUGGGCUACACUGUAUAUCCUUUGACGUAUUUUCAUAUGCACAUUUUAAAUAAAACUGUACAAUGCGCCGGGCGUGGUGGCACAUGCCUUUAAUCCCAGCACUCGGGAGGCAGGGGCAGGCGAAUUUCUGAGUUCAAGGCCAGCCUGGUCUACAAAGUGAGUUCCAGGACAGCCAGGGCUAUACAGAGAAACCCUGUCUUGAAAAACAACACAAAACAAAACAAAAACCUGCACAAUGCGAUAAACCUGGAAUUAAAGUGUUUUAACACACUCUAGUGAAAAAGAGUUCAUCAUGAAUGCCUGAUUGUUCUACUGUGUGCUAGUUACAAGAGUGAUUUUUUUUAGUGUUCAUGUGUAUUUAUUUAUUAGAAAUAUUAUACUACAAUGUACUGUCUUUUUAUGAAGAAAACAAGACAGUUUCACACAAUAGAUGUGAAUUUAUAAAUGUGAUAAAAUGGUGUUUUUCGAAUGUUAUUUCCUUUAGUGGGCUACACUAUAUGUCAUUAGGUUUAAGAAUUUUCAUAUGCACAAUGUAAAUGAAACUCUACAAUGUGUUAAGGCUGGAUGAAAAGUGUUUUUACAAAGAUGCUACAGAAAAGAGAAUUAGUCGUGAAUGCCUGAGUGUUCCACUCUGUUAGCAACAAGAGUGUUUUGUUUUUUAUUGUUCGGGUGAAUUUAUGUAUUAGACAUAUUAGACUACAUUAUAACUGUCUUUUUUGAAGAAAACAAGAUAGUUUUGCUCAAUAGAUGUGAAUUUUUAUAUACGAUAAGAAAGAUCUUAUUGGAAAGAUGUCCUUUAGUGUGUUACAGUGAAUGUCAUUACUUUUAAUUAUUUUCAUAUGCACAUUUUAAAUAAGACUGCACAAUGUGCUAAAGCUGGAAGAAAAGUGUUUUAACCGAGACACUACAGAAAAGAUACUUAAUCAUGAAUGCCUUUGUGUUCUACUCUGUUCUAGCAACAACAAAAGUGUUUUUUUUUAUAUUGUUCACAUGUAUUUAUUGAUUAGACAUACUAAACUACAUUAAAGCUGACUUUUUACAAAAAA